UACGUAGGUGGCAAGCGUUGUCCGGAUUUAUUGGGCGUAAAGCGCGCGCAGGCGGUCCUUUAAGUCUGAUGUGAAAUCUUGCGGCUCAACCGCAAGCGGUCAUUGGAAACUGGGGGACUUGAGUACAGAAGAGGAAAGCGGAAUUCCACGUGUAGCGGUGAAAUGCGUAGAGAUGUGGAGGAACACCAGUGGCGAAGGCGGCUUUCUGGUACGUGACUGACGCUGAGACGCGAAAGCGUGGGGAGCGAACAGG
rnacentral:rRNA from 1 species